GUGGGGAAUUUUGGACAAUGGGCGCAAGCCUGAUCCAGCAAUGCCGCGUGUGUGAAGAAGGUCUUCGGAUUGUAAAGCACUUUAAGUUGGGAGGAAGGGCAGUAAGUUAAUACCUUGCUGUUUUGACGUUACCGACAGAAUAAGCACCGGCUAACUUCGUGCCAGCAGCCGCGGUAAUACGAAGGGUGCAAGCGUUAAUCGGAAUUACUGGGCGUAAAGCGCGCGUAGGUGGUUUUGUAAGUUGGAGGUGAAAUCCCCGGGCUCAACCUGGGAACUGCCUCCAAAACUGCAUGACUAGAGUACGGUAGAGGGUAGUGGAAUUUCCUGUGUAGCGGUGAAAUGCGUAGAUAUAGGAAGGAACACCAGUGGCGAAGGCGACUACCUGGACUGAUACUGACACUGAGGUGCGAAAGCGUGGGGAGCAAACAGGAUUAGAUACCCCGGUAGUCC
rnacentral:rRNA from 1 species